rnacentral:tRNA from 1 species
GGUGCUGUGCCAGAAAAAUGGGUUGCUUUGAUGUAGUAGUUAUGGGGAUCUUCCUCCAGCACUG